rnacentral:misc_RNA from 1 species
GAACGCAAAUUGCACUCUCUGGCAACCCGGGGAGUAUGCCUGUUUGAGGGUCAGUGUUAAUAAAAAUCGGGUGCGUUGCAAUUUUUGUGACGUUUCCGGAGUUUGAGUUAUCUUUAAUUAACUUCGGUUUUAAGAGGCUUAAAAUUGACCUUUUUUUGUGCAUUUUAGACGUACAUAAAUUUUUUUUUUAUUCGUCCAUCCUAAUGCCAAAAUCUAUUAGAUGCGACCAUAUCUUGUGGUUCCGUGUCUAUAAAUUUUUCAUGAUUUGACCUCAAAUCAGGUAGGAACACCCGCUGAACUUAAG